rnacentral:rRNA from 1 species
UACGUAGGGUGCAAGCGUUGUCCGGAAUUAUUGGGUUUAAAGGGUGCGUAGGCGGCCUAUUAAGUCAGUGCUGAAAUAUCCCGGCUUAACCGGGAGGGUGGCAUUGAUACUGAUGGGCUUGAGUAAAGUUGAGGUAGGCGGAAUUGACGGUGUAGCGGUGAAAUGCUUAGAUAUCGUCAAGAACACCUAUUGCGAAGGCAGCUUACUAAGCUUUAACUGACGCUGAUGCACGAAAGUGUGGGGAUCAAACAGG